UNCAGUUGUGCUGCCUCUGCCUCAUUCUC
rnacentral:piRNA from 1 species